CCCAAUCAUAAAUUCAUAAUGGCAUCAUCCACAAAUAUUUUCAUAAAUAGAUUAACAAAUUAUUCUUAAUGUUUUACAUUAAAUAUUCAUAUACACAUAAUUAGACCUUGACCGUCAGCGGAGUGACUCUGGUCACGAUUGAUAACACUUAGUGUCACGUUAAACCUACCGAGCAAUGUAUAGGGAGGAGCACCUCGUCCUAAGAUCCAACCACCUUUAACUCAGGAAACCUAAAACAUGAAUUUUAAAAAUAACGUGAGUACCAACUCAAUGAGUGAACAUAAGAGAGGAACAAGCAACAUUAAGGAAGGUUUUAGAAAACAUGAUGUACUUUUUUCAAAAAUAAUGCAAUUGAAUUAAUUUUUUACUAAAAACCCUCAUUCAAACCCUUGGUCAUUUAGUCAUUUGAUGACAAAAAACUUAUGAACAACAAAGAAGUUGAGAAGUGAAAACUUUAGUAGAAGUCAAACAAGUCAAGCAUAAUAGAUUGACUCUCACCGCAGCGAGAAGGCAUUCUCGCUGCAAUGAAAUUCUGGCCAGAUAAAAUCCAAGAGGCUUUCACUGCCAUCAGGAAA
rnacentral:lncRNA from 1 species